rnacentral:rRNA from 1 species
UUUUUAUCAAAAGAUAAAAAGGGAAAGAUUUAUUGGUAAGAGAUUAGCCUGUAUUGUAUCAGUUAGUUGGUGGGGUAAUGGCCUACCAAGACGAUGACGCAUAACUGGUUUGAGAGGAUGAUCAGUCACACUGGAACUGAGACACGGUCCAGACUCCUACGGGAGGCAGCAGUGGGGAAUAUUGCACAAUGGACGAAAGUCUGAUGCAGCAACGCCGCGUGGAGGAUGACACAUUUCGGUGCGUAAACUCCUUUUAUAUAAGAAGAUAAUGACGGUAUUAUAUGAAUAAGCACCGGCUAACUCCGUGCCAGCAGCCGCGGUAAUACGGAGGGUGCAAGCGUUACUCGGAAUCACUGGGCGUAAAGAGCGUGUAGGCGGAUUGAUAAGUUUGAAGUGAAAUCCUAUAGCUUAACUAUAGAACUGCUUUGAAAACUGUUAAUCUAGAAUGUGGGAGAGGUAGAUGGAAUUUCUGGUGUAGGGGUAAAAUCCGUAGAGAUCAGAAGGAAUACCGAUUGCGAAGGCGAUCUACUGGAACAAUAUUGACGCUGAGACGCGAAAGCGUGGGGAGCAAACAGGAUUAGAUACCCUGGUAGUCCACGCCCUAAACGAUGUACACUAGUUGUUGUGAGGCUCGACCUUGCAGUAAUGCAGUUAACACAUUAAGUGUACCGCCUGGGGAGUACGGUCGCAAGAUUAAAACUCAAAGGAAUAGACGGGGACCCGCACAAGCGGUGGAGCAUGUGGUUUAAUUCGACGAUACACGAAGAACCUUACCUGGACUUGACAUAGUAAGAAUGAUUUAGAGAUAGAUUAGUGUCUGCUUGCAGAAACUUGCAUACAGGUGCUGCACGGCUGUCGUCAGCUCGUGUCGUGAGAUGUUGGGUUAAGUCCCGCAACGAGCGCAACCCUCGUCCUUAGUUGCUAACAGUUCGGCUGAGAACUCUAAGGAGACUGCCUACGCAAGUAGGAGGAAGGUGAGGAUGACGUCAAGUCAUCAUGGCCCUUACGUCCAGGGCUACACACGUGCUACAAUGGGGUAUACAAAGAGCAGCAAUACGGUGACGUGGAGCAAAUCUCAAAAAUGCCUCCCAGUUCGGAUUGUAGUCUGCAACUCGACUACAUGAAGUUGGAAUCGCUAGU